rnacentral:rRNA from 1 species
UACGUAGGUGGCAAGCGUUAUCCGGAAUUAUUGGGCGUAAAGAGCGCGCAGGUGGUUGAUUAAGUCUGAUGUGAAAGCCCACGGCUUAACCGUGGAGGGUCAUUGGAAACUGGUCGACUUGAGUGCAGAAGAGGGAAGUGGAAUUCCAUGUGUAGCGGUGAAAUGCGUAGAGAUAUGGAGGAACACCAGUGGCGAAGGCGACUUUCUGGUCUAUUAUUGACGCUGAGGCUCGAAAGCAUGGGUAGCAAACAGGAUUAGAUA